GACGAACGCUGGCGGCGUGCUUAACACAUGCAAGUCGAACGGAAAGGCCCUGCUUUUGUGGGGUGCUCGAGUGGCGAACGGGUGAGUAACACGUGAGUAACCUGCCCUUGACUUUGGGAUAACUUCAGGAAACUGGGGCUAAUACCGGAUAGGAGCUCCUGCUGCAUGGUGGGGGUUGGAAAGUUUCGGCGGUUGGGGAUGGACGCGCGGCUUAUCAGCUUGUUGGUGGGGUAGUGGCUUACCAAGGCUUUGACGGAUAGCCGGCCUGAGAGGGUGACCGGCCACAGUGGGACUGAGAUACGGCCCAGACUCCUACGGGAGGCAGCAGUGGGGAAUAUUGCACAAUGGGCGGAAGCCUGAUGCAGCAACGCCGCGUGCGGGAUGACGGCCUUCGGGUUGUAAACCGCUUUCGCCUGUGACGAAGCGUGAGUGACGGUAAUGGGUAAAGAAGCACCGGCUAACUACGUG
rnacentral:rRNA from 1 species